rnacentral:rRNA from 1 species
UACGUAGGGUGCAAGCGUUGUCCGGAAUUAUUGGGCGUAAAGAGCUCGUAGGCGGUCUGUCGCGUCGAAUGUGAAAACCCGGGGCUCAACCCCGGGCCUGCAUUCGAUACGGGCAGACUAGAGUUCGGUAGGGGAGUCUGGAAUUCCUGGUGUAGCGGUGAAAUGCGCAGAUAUCAGGAGGAACACCGGUGGCGAAGGCGAGACUCUGGGCCGAUACUGACGCUGAGGAGCGAAAGCGUGGGGAGCAAACAGG